rnacentral:rRNA from 1 species
AAUGGCGGUAUGAGUAGCGCAAGAUAAGUGAGAAUCUUAUCCACCGUAAGACUAAGGUUUCCAGGGGAAGGCUCGUCCGCCCUGGGUUAGUCGGGACCUAAGGCGAGGCCGAAAGGCGUAGUCGAUGGACAACUGGUUGAUAUUCCAGUACUAGAUAUGAUCGUGAUGGAGGGACGCAGUAGGCUAAGAGAUGCCAGUUAAUGGAUUCUGGUCUAAGCAGUGAGGUGUGAGAUGUGUCAAAUGCAUUUCUCUUUAACAUUGAGCUGUGAUGGGGAAGCAACUACGGUUGCGAACUCUCUGAUGUCACACUGCCAAGAAAAGCUUCUAGNNNNNNNNNNNNCGCAGUGAAUAGGCCCAAGCAACUGUUUAUCAAAAACACAGCUCUCUGCUAAACCGCAAGGUGAUGUAUAGGGGGUGACGCCUGCCCGGUGCUGGAAGGUUAAGAGGAGUGCUUAGACGUAAGUCGAAGGUAUGAAUUGAAGCCCCAGUAAACGGCG